CAGCCCGGCUCGUGUGUUUGAGAAGCAGCAGGGUAGAACGAUGCAGGCAGAGCAGAGAGCGCACGGUUCGGCAAGGCUGCCCGGCGCGGGCGUCUCCAUGGCUACACCCACACGCGCGGCCACGACGGCGGGCGCUGCUGCUGCUCCUGCUCCUCGUGGCACAUAGGACGACGGCCGCCUCCGACACCGGGCGGAGGAGGAUCGAGCUGGAGCUGGAUGAGGGGGUAACUACACGGAACCUUCACCAACCCGUUCGACUGCCCCAGCGAUAGGCUACAGUCCGGCUGCAGCGGCUGUCCGUGAAGCCAUAGGCCAUAGCAUGCACUGAUUAUUGUACUACUACUAGUACUAGUAGUAGUAAUAUGUAUUUGCUAUAUCUGGGUUAUUGACCCGACUGUCUAUUUGUGACGUGCACGAUGCUGGUAGUGCCCCACAUUGGACUGCCACAGCCAGCCACUGCUGACUGUGCUUUGCUUCGCGCAAGUUGCGACGCUCUGGUGCUAGGCCGAUAGACAACGGUGCUUCAAAAACACAUAAAUGGUUAC
rnacentral:lncRNA from 7 species